AGUGAGCGCUGGCGGUAGGCCUAACACAUGCAAGUCGAACGGCAGCACAGUAAGAGCUUGCUCUUACGGGUGGCGAGUGGCGGACGGGUGAGGCAUACAUCGGAAUCUACUUUUUCGUGGGGGAUAACGUAGGGAAACUUACGCUAAUACCGCAUACGACCUACGGGUGAAAGCAGGGGAUCUUCGGACCUUGCGCGAUUGAAUGAGCCGAUGUCGGAUUAGCUAGUUGGCGGGGUAAAGGCCCACCAAGGCAACGAUCCGUAGCUGGUCUGAGAGGAUGAUCAGCCACACUGGAACUGAGACACGGUCCAGACUCCUACGGGAGGCAGCAGUGGGGAAUAUUGGACAAUGGGCGCAAGCCUGAUCCAGCCAUACCGCGUGGGUGAAGAAGGCCUUCGGGUUGUAAAGCCCUUUUGUUGGGAAAGAAAAGCAGCAGGUUAAUACCCCGCUGUUCUGACGGUACCCAAAGAAUAAGCACCGGCUAACUUCGUG
rnacentral:rRNA from 1 species